rnacentral:rRNA from 1 species
CCUACGGGAGGCAGCAGUGGGGAAUAUUGGGCAAUGGAGGAAACUCUGACCCAGCCACGCCGCGUGAAUGAUGAAGGUCUUCGGAUGGUAAAGUUCUUUUCUAAGGGAGGAAGAAAGUGCCGGUACCGUAGGAAGAAGCCUCGGUUAACUACGUGCCAGCAGCCGCGGUAAUACGUAGGAGGCGAGCGUUAUCCGGAUUGACGGGGCGUAAGGGGUGCGGAGGUGGUAUGGCAAGUGAGUAGCGAAACCCCAAGGCUAAACGUUGGAACUACCACUAAAACUGUUGUACUUGAGUGCAGGAGGGGCAACAGGAAUGCCUAGUGUAGCGGUGGAAUGCGUAGAUAUUAGGAGGAACACCAGUUGCGAAGGCGGGUUGCUAGACUGUAAUUGACACUGAGGCACGAAAGCGUGGGGAGCAAACAGGAUUAGAUACCCGGGUAGUC